GGAAAAAGUGUGAAAAUUCAAGGAAACAAGUGAAAAAAUGUGGUGAAUCCUCCAAUAAAGACAAAGAAAUUGUACUUGAGGAUUGAUAGUCGAAGUACUCUAAAAAUUCGACUUUCGAAAUAUUUGCUGCAGUGGGCGGGUUCUGUGGACCAGCCUAUUAG